rnacentral:rRNA from 1 species
GACGAACGCUGGCGGCGUGCUUAACACAUGCAAGUCGAACGGAAAGGCCCUGCUUUUGUGGGGUGCUCGAUUGGCGAACGGGUGAGUAACACGUGAGUAACCUGCCCUUGACUUUGGGAUAACUUCAGGAAACUGGGGCGAAUACCGGAUAGGAGCUCUUGCUGCAUGGUGGGGGUUGGAAAGUUUCGGCGGUUGGGGAUGGACUCGCGGCUUAUCAGCUUGUUGGUGGGGUAGUGGCUUACCAAGGUUUUGACGGGUAGCCGGCCUGAGAGGGUGACCGGCCACACUGGGACUGAGAUACGGCACAGACUGCUACGGGAGGCAGCAGUGGGGAAUAUUGCACGAUGGGCGGAAGCCUGAUGCAGCAACGCCGCGUGCGGGAUGACGGCCUUCGGGUUGUAAACCGCUUUCGCCUGUGACGAAGCGUGAGUGACGGUAAUGGGUAAAGAAGCACCGGCUAACUACGUG